GGUUGCUUCCCCGAGUGAUGAAAGGCGCUGGUUUUAGGCACCAGAUUCUUCGGAGGCGUGGGUUUAAAUCCCACAGCUGUCA